GAGCAUUGAGUGAAUUCAAAGUGGUUAAUCUAAGGGGUGGGACUGCCUCCUUAAACAGUGUCCAGAAAUAGAGGAGGAGAACACACCCCCAUCUACAUCAACAGAGCAGAGGAUGAGAGCAUCAAGUUCCUCAGAGUAACAUUAACCAACAACCUGUCCUGGACUGCCAGGUAGAUGCGGUGGUUAAGAAGACACAACAAUGUUUCUUCUUCCCCAGGCGGCUCAGGAAAUUUGGCAUGUCCAUAAGGACCCUCACCAACCUCUACAGAUGCACCAUUGAAAGCAUACUGUCCGGGUGCAUAACGGCCUGGUAAGGGAACUGCUCUGCUCAGGAAUGUAAGAAACUACAGAAAGCUGUAUUCACAGCCCAGACCAUCACGGAAGCCAACCUCCCAGCCAUGGACUCCAUUUACAGGUCUUGUAAUGAACUUUCUCAACAUCCAGUGCAUUCAGCUAGUUCUUGAUGUCACAUGAAGUAAAUCAAAUUGGUUGACAACUGGCAUCUCUGACGCUGGGACCAUUGGAGGAAGCUGAGAUGGAUCAUCUACUCAACACUUCUGGCUGAAGUUUGCUGUGAAUGCUUAUCUUUAGCACUGAUGUGCUGGAUUCUCCCAUCAUUGAAGACAGGGACAUUUGUCGAGUCUCCUAUUACAGAUCUUGCAGUAUGGCUCAGAAAGGAUGGCCCAUGUCUAUGUGGUACACUGCACCCGUCACACCUGCAGCUACUAAUGGAAGAUGACCUUGAUACAGGGGAAAGAGAGAUCGACAGUAAUUUUCUGAUGAUGAAUUGAGGAUGAAGAUCAGGAUAAUGGGUGAGACAUCAAAGAGACCAUGAAGAGGCUGUGCACUGUCGAACACCAAGAAGCCAACAGGAAUGAGCUGGGUCUGGACUCCCUUUCGUUGUGUUACUUCCUGUGAUUAUCUGACAAGCAGCCCCUGGACAGAUCAUAGACCACAGGGACCUGGUUAUUUCUGUACUUCUUGAGCUAU